rnacentral:rRNA from 1 species
GACGAACGCUGGCGGCGUGCCUAAUACAUGCAAGUAGAACGCAGUUGCGAACGGGUGAGUAACGCGUAGGUAACUGCCUCAUAGCGGGGGAUAAAUAUUGGAAACGAUAGCUAAUACCGCAUACUGUGAGAUGGACCUGCGUUGUAUUAGCUAGUUGGUGAGGUAAAGGCUCACCAAGGCGACGAUACAUAGCCGAGCUGUGAGGGUGAUCGGCCAAACUUGGACUGGGACACGGCCCAGACUCCUACGGGAGGCAGCAGGAGGGAAUCUUCGGCAAUGGACGGAAGUCUGACCGAGGAAAGGCGCGUGAGUGAAGGAGGGUUGCGGGGCGGAAAGCUCUGUUGUUAGAGAAGCGGUAACUAAACAGAAAGGGACGGCUAACUACGUGCCAGCAGCCGCGGUAAUUC